UACCUGGAGCACUGGCUUUUUCUGACACCUUACGGAUAGGUCCAUCAGAAAAUAGUUCUGUCACAGGCUCUCGGACGUUUUCUGUGGAAGACCUUUCUAAUCCCCUACUCUGCGGCAUCUUCUGUUCAUAUUCGGGACGACGAUAUUUACGCGGUGGGAUCUCAAUCCGCUCCGAGUAGUGGAGCUGUCGGCACCUUUGAAUCCAGAGAUCAUCAGGAAGGUGGGAAACUGAUGUACUCUCAUUAGCAACUUUGCUUUCUGUCCUACUUCACAUGUUACAUUACUAUAGUGCCAGAAGGGAAGAUUGACGCAUGUUGAGGCGCCUUGCACGUGUGGCGCCGUUGGCAUUGCUCGAUGGCUGUUGUGCUAAACUUAAACAAGUUUUAACAGGUCAGUGCUCCGCCUUUGGAACAGAAUGGCACCCAGACGUCGCAAAGCACCGCCUUGCAGCGUGGAC
rnacentral:lncRNA from 1 species